rnacentral:rRNA from 1 species
GACGAACGCUGGCGGCGUGCCUAAUACAUGCAAGUAGAACGCUGAAGGAGGAGCUUGCUCUUCUGGAUGAGUUGCGAACGGGUGAGUAACGCGUAGGUAACCUGCCUGGUAGUGGGGGAUAACUAUUGGAAACGAUAGCUAAUACCGCAUAAUAACAGUUGUUGCAUGACAACUGUUUGAAAGGUGCAAUUGCAUCACUACCAGAUGGACCUGCGUUGUAUUAGCUAGUUGGUGGGGUAACGGCUCACCAAGGCGACGAUACAUAGCCGACCUGAGAGGGUGAUCGGCCACACUGGGACUGAGACACGGCCCAGACUCCUACGGGAGGCAGCAGUAGGGAAUCUUCGGCAAUGGACGAAAGUCUGACCGAGCAACGCCGCGUGAGUGAAGAAGGUUGUCGGAUCGUAAAGCUCUGUUGUAAGAGAAGAACGAGUGUGAGAGUGGAAAGUUCACACUGUGACGGUAUCUUACCAGAAAGGGACGGCUAACUACGUG